UGGAUCCAGACUUUGAUCCUGGCUCAGGAUGAACGCUAGCUACAGGCUUAACACAUGCAAGUCGAGGGGCAGCGGGAUUGAAGCUUGCUUCAAUUGCCGGCGACCGGCGCACGGGUGAGUAACGCGUAUCCAACCUUCCGUACACUCAGGGAUAGCCUUUCGAAAGAAAGAUUAAUACCUGAUGGUAUGAUGAGAUUGCAUGAUAGCAUCAUUAAAGAUUUAUCGGUGUACGAUGGGGAUGCGUUCCAUUAGGUAGUAGGCGGGGUAACGGCCCACCUAGCCAACGAUGGAUAGGGGUUCUGAGAGGAAGGUCCCCCACAUUGGAACUGAGACACGGUCCAAACUCCUACGGGAGGCAGCAGUGAGGAAUAUUGGUCAAUGGACGAGAGUCUGAACCAGCCAAGUAGCGUGAAGGAUGAAGGUCCUACGGAUUGUAAACUUCUUUUAUAAGGGAAUAAACCCUCCCACGUGUGGGAGCUUGUAUGUACCUUAUGAAUAAGCAUCGGCUAACUCCGUGCCAGCAGCCGCGGUAAUACGGAGGAUGCGAGCGUUAUCCGGAUUUAUUGGGUUUAAAGGGAGCGCAGACGGGUCGUUAAGUCAGCUGUGAAAGUUUGGGGCUCAACCUUAAAAUUGCAGUUGAUACUGGCGUCCUUGAGUGCGGUUGAGGUGUGCGGAAUUCGUGGUGUAGCGGCGAAAUGCUUAGAUAUCACGAAGAACUCCGAUUGCGAAGGCAGCACACUAAUCCGUAACUGACGUUCAUGCUCGAAAGUGUGGGUAUCAAACAGGAUUAGAUACCCUGGUAGUCCACACGGUAAACGAUGGAUACUCGCUGUUGGCGAUAUACUGUCAGCGGCUUAGCGAAAGCGUUAAGUAUCCCACCUGGGGAGUACGCCGGCAACGGUGCAACUCAAAUGAAUUGACGGA
rnacentral:rRNA from 2 species